rnacentral:rRNA from 1 species
CAGCCGCCGCGGGAAUACGUAGGGUGCAAGCGUUAAUCGGAAUUACUGGGCGUAAAGCGUGCGCAGGCGGUUAUAUAAGACAGAUGUGAAAUCCCCGGGCUCAACCUGGGAACUGCAUUUGUGACUGUAUAGCUAGAGUACGGCAGAGGGGGAUGGAAUUCCGCGUGUAGCAGUGAAAUGCGUAGAUAUGCGGAGGAACACCGAUGGCGAAGGCAAUCCCCUGGGCCUGCACUGACGCUCAUGCACGAAAGCGUGGGGAGCAACCAGGAUUAGAUACCCCGGUAGUCCCUGUCUCUUAUAC